UGGGGAAUAUUGCGCAAUGGGGGCAACCCUGACGCAGCAACGCCGCGUGCAGGAAGAAGGUCUUCGGAUUGUAAACUGUUGUCGCAAGGGAAGAAGACAGUGACGGUACCUUGUGAGAAAGUCACGGCUAACUACGUGCCAGCAGCCGCGGUAAUACGUAGGUGACGAGCGUUGUCCGGAUUUACUGGGUGUAAAGGGCGCGUAGGCGGACUGUCAAGUCAGUCGUGAAAUACCGGGGCUUAACCCCGGGGCUGCGAUUGAAACUGACAGCCUUGAGUAUCGGAGAGGAAAGCGGAAUUCCUAGUGUAGCGGUGAAAUGCGUAGAUAUUAGGAGGAACACCAGUGGCGAAGGCGGCUUUCUGGACGACAACUGACGCUGAGGCGCGAAAGUGUGGGGAGCAAACAGG
rnacentral:rRNA from 1 species